UGGGGAAUCUUGGACAAUGGGGGCAACCCUGAUCCAGCCAUGCCGCGUGAGUGAUGAAGGCCUUAGGGUCGUAAAGCUCUUUCGCCUGUGAAGAUAAUGACGGUAGCAGGUAAAGAAACCCCGGCUAACUCCGUGCCAGCAGCCGCGGUAAUACGGAGGGGGUUAGCGUUGUUCGGAAUUACUGGGCGUAAAGCGCACGUAGGCGGACCAGAAAGUUGGGGGUGAAAUCCCGGGGGCUCAACCCCGGAACUGCCUCCAAAACUAUUGGUCUAGAGUUCGAGAGAGGUGAGUGGAAUUCCAAGUGUAGAGGUGAAAUUCGUAGAUAUUUGGAGGAACACCAGUGGCGAAGGCGGCUCACUGGCUCGAUACUGACGCUGAGGUGCGAAAGUGUGGGGAGCAAACAGGAUUAGAUACCCUGGUAGUCCACACCGUAAAACGAUGAAUGCCAGUCGUCGGGUAGCAUGCUAUUCGGUGACACACCUAACGGAUUAAGCAUUCCGCCUGGGGAGUACGGUCGCAAGACUAAAACUCAAAGGAAUUG
rnacentral:rRNA from 1 species